GCAAACUUGGUCAUUUAGAGGAAGUAAAAGUCGUAACAAGGUCUCCGUUGGUGAACCAGCGGAGGGAUCAUUACAGAGUUUAAGACUCCCAAACCCAAUGUGUAUUUACCAGUUUGUUGCCUCGGUCGACCUUACUCCUGGGGGGGUAAUUUAAAGGUAGGCCGAAGGCCCUAUUUAAAUUCUUGAAUAUUUCAUCAUCUGAGGAUUUAUUUUAAAUAAGUUAAAACUUUCAACAACGGAUCUCUUGGUUCUGGCAUCGAUGAAGAACGCAGC
rnacentral:misc_RNA from 1 species